UUGAGUGCGCAGAGUAGCGUUCAAUUGCUUUGCGCUUGUUCGAUAUCAGGGGUAAACCAUGUGUCCCGACGCGAUAAAACCUACGUUGAGAGGAAGUUAUAUCCUCCUGGAGGAUGGGACCGUGUUGCGUGGCCGAGGAUUCGGUGCCGCGGUUCCCGUCGACGGAGAAGUCGUUUUUCAGACGGGUAUGGUCGGUUACCCCGAAUCGUUGACGGAUCCUUCGUAUCACGCCCAGAUUUUGGUCCUCACCUAUCCAUUGAUCGGAAAUUACGGGCUCCCGGACGAUCAGAAAGAUCCGCACGGUCUGCCUUACUGGUUCGAGUCCCACCGAAUAUGGGCCGCCGGUUUGGUAGUUGGGGAACUCUGCGAGACCCCGAGUCAUUGGCGGCAAACGAGGACCUUGUCCGCAUGGAUGGAGGAGCAAAAUGUUCCCGGUAUUUGCGGGGUGGACACCCGGGCACUGACGAAGAUAAUCAGGGAGAAGGGCAGCAUUCUCGGAAGAAUCGUGAUAAGCGGUUCGACUCCGGAUCCCGAGGAGCCGCUGCCAGUUCUGUCGGAUCCCAACGAGAGAAACCUCGUCGCCGAGGUGUCGAUUAAAAAACCCGUGACGUACAAUCCCACGGGACAGCCGAGAAUCUGCGCCGUUGACUGCGGCUUAAAAUACAACCAGAUAAGAUGCUUCGUGAACAGGGGUGCUCGCGUCGACGUGGUACCUUGGGAUCAUCCCCUGGACGAUGUGGACUUCGACGGUCUCUUCGUCAGCAACGGUCCCGGAGAUCCUGUGGUUUGUGAGAAGACGGUGGACAAUAUUCGCAAGGUUUUGGCUAAGGGUGGGAAACCGAUAUUCGGAAUAUGUCUGGGACAUCAAUUACUGUCGGUCGCCGCCGGCUGCAAAAGUUACAAAAUGAAAUACGGAAAUCGCGGUCACAAUCAACCGGCGACUCAUCACGGAACCGGUAGGUGUUACAUGACGUCUCAGAAUCACGGUUACGCGAUCGACGCUACAAAUUUACCACCCCAUUGGGAAGCGCUUUUCACGAACGCCAACGACCAGACCAACGAAGGAAUAGUUCACGAGUACUUGCCCUAUUUCUCGGUGCAAUUUCAUCCGGAACACACCGCCGGUCCACAGGACCUCGAAUGUUUGUUCGACGUGUUCUUGGACACGGUGAAUAAUUCACCGAGCGGUAUGACCGUCAAGGAGAGACUCACCGAGCGUUUGAAAUACAAUUCCUGUCCGUCGACCGGAAUCCAGAGGCCCAGGAAGGUCCUGAUCCUGGGAUCCGGGGGUUUGAGCAUAGGUCAGGCCGGGGAAUUCGAUUAUUCGGGUUCGCAGGCGAUCAAGGCUCUCCAGGAAGAGAAAAUCCAAACCCUUUUGAUCAAUCCGAACAUAGCUACCGUACAGACGUCCAAGGGUAUGGCCGACAAGGUCUACUUCCUCCCCAUUAUUCCCGAAUACGUCGAGCAGGUCAUCAAAGCGGAGAGACCCGACGGAGUUCUACUGACUUUCGGGGGUCAGACGGCCCUCAACUGCGGAGUGGAACUCCAGCGGGCAGGGGUCUUCGAACGCUACAACAUAGAGAUCCUAGGCACACCGAUUCGUUCGAUCAUAGAAACCGAGGAUCGGAAACUCUUCGCCGAGCGGGUGAACGAGAUCGGCGAAAAGGUGGCACCCAGUGCAGCGGUAUACGACAUCCAAGAGGCAUUGGAGGCUGCGCAAAUAUUGGGCUACCCGGUGAUGGCGCGAGCCGCUUUUUCGCUCGGCGGUCUCGGUUCCGGUUUCGCCAACAACAAGGACGAGUUGAAAAUCCUGGCACAGCAGGCACUCGCCCAUUCCAAUCAACUGAUAAUAGACAAGUCGUUGAAGGGUUGGAAGGAGGUGGAGUACGAGGUGGUCAGGGAUUGCUUCGACAAUUGCAUAACCGUUUGCAACAUGGAGAACGUCGAUCCACUCGGCAUUCACACGGGUGAAUCGAUAGUCGUCGCACCGAGUCAAACACUGAACAACAGGGAGUACAACAUGCUGAGAAAAACGGCGAUCAACGUGAUCAGACAUUUCGGGGUUGUCGGAGAGUGCAAUAUACAGUACGCUCUGAAUCCACUAUCGGAAGAAUACUACAUCAUAGAAGUGAACGCGAGAUUGUCCCGGAGUUCCGCACUGGCGAGCAAAGCCACCGGAUACCCCCUCGCCUACGUUGCGGCGAAACUCGCCCUCGGCAUCCCCCUACCGGACAUAAAAAAUUCCGUAACCGGAAAAACCACCGCCUGUUUCGAGCCCAGUCUCGACUACUGCGUCGUCAAAAUACCCAGAUGGGAUCUCAGCAAGUUCCAAAGAGUCAGCACCAAGAUCGGGAGUUCGAUGAAGAGCGUGGGCGAGGCAAUGGCGAUCGGCAGAAAAUUCGAGGAGGCUUUCCAGAAGGCUCUACGAAUGGUGGACGAAAACGUGAACGGUUUCGACCCCUACGUCAAACCCAUAGACGACGAGGACCUCGAGCGACCUACCGACAAAAGGAUGUUCGUACUCGCGGCCGCUCUUAAAGCCGGUUACUCGAUCGACCGACUUUACGAUUUGACGAAAAUCGACAGAUGGUUUUUGGAGAAAAUGAGAAACAUAACCAGCUACUACACCCUGUUGGAAGACCUCGAUCCCACCAAAUUGUCGCACGACGUUCUCCUGCGCGCUAAGCAAAUCGGAUUCUCCGACAAGCAAAUCGCCACAGCGGUGAAGAGCACGGAACUGGCGGUCCGCAAACAGAGACAGGAGAGCAACAUAGGGCCGUACGUCAAACAAAUCGACACGGUGGCCGCCGAAUGGCCGGCUACAACAAAUUACUUGUAUUUGACCUACAACGGCAACAAGCACGACCUUCAAUUCCCCGGGGGUUACACAAUGGUCAUAGGUUCCGGGGUAUACCGGAUCGGAAGUUCCGUGGAAUUCGACUGGUGCGCGGUUGGAUGUCUGAGGGAAUUACGCCGUUUGAAUCGAAAGACGAUAAUGGUGAAUUACAAUCCGGAAACGGUCAGUACCGAUUACGACAUGUGCGAUCGCCUCUACUUCGAGGAGAUAUCGUUCGAAGUGGUGAUGGACAUCUACGACCUCGAGAAUCCCGAGGGUGUGAUUCUUUCCAUGGGGGGUCAACUGCCGAACAACAUCGCCAUGGAUCUUCACAGACAGCAGGCGAGGAUCCUGGGAACGUCACCCGAGUCCGUCGACGGUGCCGAAAAUCGUUUCAAAUUCUCUCGCAUGCUCGACAGAAUCGGCAUAUCGCAGCCGAGAUGGAAGGAGUUGACGAAUCUGCAGUCGGCCAUCGAAUUCUGCGAACAGGUCGGCUACCCCUGCCUGGUGCGCCCUUCCUACGUCCUCAGCGGGGCCGCAAUGAACGUUGCCCAUUCGAAUCACGACCUCGAAACUUACCUGAAAAACGCGAGCAACGUGAGCAAGGAACACCCGGUGGUGAUAUCGAAGUUCAUCCUCGAGGCGAAGGAGAUCGACGUUGACGCGGUGGCCUACGACGGCGUCAUAUUGUGCAUGGCCGUUUCCGAGCACGUGGAGAACGCCGGUGUACAUUCCGGAGACGCUACUCUGGUCACUCCGCCGCAGGACAUAAACCCUCAGACCUUGGCGAAGAUCAGGGGGAUAUCGAAGGCCAUAGCGGCGUCGCUGGAGGUGACCGGGCCCUUCAACAUGCAGCUGAUAGCCAAGGACAACGAGCUCAAGGUGAUAGAGUGCAACGUGCGAGUUUCCCGAUCGUUUCCGUUCGUCUCGAAAACUCUGGAUCACGAUUUCGUGGCCAUGGCGACGCGUCUGAUCGUCGGCGAGACCGUAGAUCCCGUGGACGUUCUCGCUGGGUGCGGAAAAGUCGGGGUCAAAGUCCCCCAGUUUUCGUUCUCCAGAUUGGCGGGAGCCGACGUCACUCUGGGGGUUGAAAUGGCCUCGACGGGUGAGGUCGCCUGUUUCGGAGACAACCGGUACGAGGCUUACCUGAAGGGAAUGAUGAGCACCGGCUUCCACAUCCCCCAAAAGGGAAUUCUUUUAUCGAUAGGAAGUUUCAAACAUAAAACGGAACUGCUACCAGCCAUCACGAGUCUCCACAAAAUGGGGUACAAGCUGUACGCCAGCAUGGGAACGGCCGAUUUCUACACCGAGCACGGGGUCGAUGUGGAACCGGUGGAAUGGACCUUCGAGGACAUCGACGUAAACGAGGAUUCGAGUCCGAGCGAACUCCGUCACUUGGCGGAUUUCUUGUCUAAGAAACAUUUCGAUCUCGUCAUCAAUCUGCCCAUGAGGAACGGCGGCGCCCGCAGGGUAUCCAAUUUCAUGACCCACGGCUACAGAACGAGAAGAUUGGCCGUGGAUUAUUCCGUCCCUCUGGUAACGGACGUCAAAUGCGCAAAACUUCUUGUCGAGGCGAUAAAAAUGCUCCGCGGUCGAGCUCCGCUGAUGAAAACUCACACGGAUUGCAUGACAUCUCGUUCGAUGGUCAAACUUCCCGGCUUCAUCGACGUCCACGUUCACGUUCGCGAUCCCGGCGCUACUCACAAAGAGGAUUUCGCCUCUUGCACCGCGGCAGCAUUGGCGGGAGGAAUCACGAUGAUAUUCGCCAUGCCGAACACCAAUCCCUCGGUCGUCGAUCACCAGACGUUCGCCGUGGCCAAGGAGAGGGCUAGCUCCGGAGCGCGUUGCGACUACGCCCUUUUCAUGGGAGCUUCUUCCGACAAUUUCGGCACAGUUCACGAAUUGGCGCCGAUGGCAGCCGGCCUCAAAAUGUACCUAAACGAAACUUACACCAGCCUGAAACUCACCGAUCUCACAGUCUGGAUAAAGCACUUCAGCAACUGGCCGAAAAAAUAUCCCUUGUGCGUACACGCCGAAGGUCAAACUACCGCGGCCGUAUUACUUUUAGCAACACUUUACAACCGACCGAUACACGUUUGUCACGUAGCCAGGAAGGAAGAGAUACAAAUAAUCGGCGCUGCCAAGGCUAAGGGUCUACCGGUCACCUGCGAAGUCUGUCCCCACCAUCUGUUCCUCUCCCAGGACGACCUCGACAGGGUAGGUCACGGAAGAGGACAGGUCAGACCUGUGCUCUGUUCGAAAGAAGACCAGCAAGCCCUUUGGGACAAUCUCAACAUCAUAGACUGUUUCGCCACGGAUCACGCGCCUCACACGGUGGAGGAAAAAUCCGGCGAAAAUCCACCGCCGGGUUAUCCGGGGCUCGAAACGAUCCUGCCGCUGCUGCUGAACGCCGUCAACGAGGGAAGAAUGACGAUGGAGGAUCUCAUCGACAAAUUUCACCGGAAUCCGAAACGGAUAUUCAACAUACCGGAGCAGCCGAACACCUACGUGGAGGUCGACAUGGACGAGGAAUGGGUGAUACCGGAAGCGAUGCCGUUCACCAAAUCGAAGUGGACACCGUUCGCCGGCAUGAAGAUCCGCGGUUCCAUUCAUCGGGUGGUUCUCAGGGGCGAAGUUGCCUACGUCGAAGGGCAGGUAUUGGUGAAUCCGGGAUUCGGUCAGGACAUAAGGGAGGCACAGGCAAAAUCGAAACACGUCCUCCCAACGAUCCACGGCACGGCCGUCGACGGGUCCGGCAGUCGUCCCGAAUCCGCGUUGGAGGGACUCCUCUCCCCGGGACAAGAACGUCAGGAGCGCGUCGUCGCCCAUCACGAGCUCUGGGACCACAUCGAUCAAGCGGAAACGCACGGGAAUCUGCUACAGCCGGCGACGCACAGGGGGAACGUCCACUUCGCGUCGGACUCCGAGGCUAAGGAUCACGUGUUGAAAAUUCACGCUACACAACGAAGCGCAUCGCCGAUUCCGUUCGGAAAUUUGAUCCGAAACAAGAGCGACAGUAAUCCGAAUUUGUUCGUUCAGACCGUGAAUACUCAUACCCAUUUGAAUCCUCAUCACGGACUCGUCGGACACGACAUUCUCACCGCUUAUAUGUUCUCCAAGGAACAACUAAACGACAUUUUCAACCUCGCGCAGACAUUCAGGGUCUACGUCCAGAAAGAUCGACCUCUUGAUCACAUUUUGAGGAUUCCGUCGCGGUGAUGGCCGGUUACGCGGACGUGGUGGUCCUCCGACAUCCGGAACCGGGAGCGGUGGCGCGCGCAGCUAAUCACUGCAGAAAACCGU
rnacentral:misc_RNA from 1 species